CCUACGGGAGGCAGCAGUGAGGAAUAUUGGUCAAUGGGCGAGAGCCUGAACCAGCCAAGUCGCGUGAGGGAGUACUGCCCUAUGGGUUGUAAACCUCUUUUGUCGGGGAGCAAAAGCCGGACGUGUCCGGCUGUGAGAGUACCCGAAGAAAAAGCAUCGGCUAACUCCGUGGCAGCAGCCGCGGUAAUACGGAGGAUGCGAGCGUUAUCCGGAUUUAUUGGGGUUAAAGGGUGCGCAGGCGGAUUUUUAAGUCAGCGGUCAAAUCGUGGGGCUCAACCCCAUCCAGCCGUUGAAACUGGGGAUCUAGAGUGUGCGAGAGGUAUGCGGAAUGCGUGGUGUAGCGGUGAAAUGCAUAGAUAUCACGCAGAACCCCGAUUGCGAAGGCAGCAUACCGGUGCACAACUGACGCUCAGGCACGAAAGCGUGGGUAUCGAACAGGAUUAGAUACCCUGGUAGUC
rnacentral:rRNA from 1 species